rnacentral:rRNA from 1 species
GAUCCUGGCUCAGGAUGAACGCUAGCUACAGGCUUAACACAUGCAAGUCGAGGGGCAGCAUGGACCCAGCUUUGCUGGGUUUGAUGGCGACCGGCGCACGGGUGAGUAACGCGUAUCCAACCUGCCCUUUACUCCGGGAUAGUCUCCUGAAAGGGAGUUUAAUACCGGAUGUGUUUGUCUUUCCGCAUGGGAGCGACAAAUAAAGAUUAAUUGGUAAAGGAUGGGGAUGCGUCCCAUUAGCUUGUUGGCGGGG